rnacentral:lncRNA from 1 species
UUAGUUUUUCGCUAUUAGUUUCAACAAUAGUAUCUUAACUGAUUAUUGUUUUAUUAUUCAUUGGUUUGAAUUAUCAUUUCACAUAAUAAUCAUGGUUCUAUAUUAUUAUGCCUACGGCUGCUCAAAUAAGAGCACUAAACCUGGUCUUUGCUUCCAUAAAUUUCCUAGAGAUCCAGGUCCAUCAAACUUAAGAUUUAACCUUAAAUUUAAUUUAAUGACUAUGAUUUCCUUCAAAAAUGGAUUACUAUCUGAUAUUGUAGUGGCAAAACCCAAGUAUGAUCGUCUUCAAUCUUGAAUAGAAAAAAUACAUCUUAAAGAGAAGAAACAAGGACGGAAGCUCCAUAAUGCAUGUCUCAAGAAUCAGAAUACAAAAUUAGGAUUGAAUUAAGUCAUAAAAAGUAUUAAACAAAAAGAGCUUUUACAACCCCAGAACAUUUCAAUUCUUGAAGGAGAUUUCAAUACUAUUAAAUUUGAAGCCGUUACAGGAUUGCUGGAAAAGAAAACUAAAACAACUUCGUUUUCACCAGAAGUGAGAGAUUUUGCUACAAGCCUUUUUUAUUGCAGUUUAAAGGCAUUUGAUUUCGUAUCUCAACUUCUGACUUUAAAGAAGUCCGCGUGCAAUCCAAAGGUAUGUAAGCAGUAUUGUUUGCUAUCCUGGAUUUCAAAUACCAGCAUUUGAAGAGCUAAAAAGCCGGAGCAAUGAUCCUUAUUUUAAAGAGGCUAGCCUCUGUAUAGAUGGCAUGCCCAUUAAACAAAUGAUUUAAUUUGAUAAUAAGCUAGGAAGAGGUUUUGGUUAUUUUGUCUUUGGUGGUCAAAGCGACAGUGGUGAAGAUAUACCAGCAAAUGAAUGCCUUGUUGUGAUGCUCGUUGGCCUUAAUCACUUUUGGAAAUUACUUAUCGCUUAUUUCUUAAUCAAGGGAAUUCCAGCAUCUGUUCUUACAAGAAUCAUUUUUCAAGCUAUUGUAUUCGCAUUUGAAGCCGGUAUUAUGGUUAGAUCCAUUUGUAUGGAUGGAGCAUAUGGAUACAACAUCUCGGCAAUAAAUAUUCUGGGCUACGAUCUUCAAAAGAAGAAUAUUGAAGACAUAUGUACAACGUUACCUCAUCCAUGCAAAAAUACAACCGUAGUUGCAAUCUGCGAUCCUCCCAUAUGGCCAAAAACGUCAGAAAUCUGUUUGCAGAUUACAAAACCAUUAUAUGGGCCAAUAAAGGUCUUAUCUUGAAGAACUCUAUUAAAUUCAGUCCAAACAUGAUUUUAGGCCUAGUAAUAAGCUAGCGGUACGCCAAAUUUCAUUUAAAAAUUGCGAAAUGUGAGUUCAAUUAGCUGUUCUGUUAAUGUCAGACUCGGUCGCUAAAUAUUGAAAUGGGCUCAUGAAAACAAAAUUUCUGGGUUUGAAAGUGAAGAUUCUUGUUACGGCAGGAUUUAUUGAAUUACACGAUAAGAUUUUUGAUAUUAUGAAUAGUCGAUCCAAGUACGUCUACAAAUUAAAAGCAGCAUUGUCUCUAACUAAUAUAGUUCAAGCGGAGGAAAUAUUAAAAAAAAAUCAUUCAUAUCUAUGAAGUUUUAACAAGAAGUGACGGGAUUAAAAUAAUUGCUUUAGGCGACGCACAGGGCCAUUAGGCUUAAUUGCCUGCAUAUAUUCUCUAAGGCAUCUUCUGGAACUAAUAAAGACUGGUGAAAUAAAUAUGCAAUAUAUUUAUUCUCAUAAACUUCAGCAUGACCAUUCGGAACAUCUCUUUGCUGCAAUCAGACGAAGGAAUGAAUGGUGUUUCAAUCCAGGUCUGAAACAAUUUAGAUUUGCUUUCAGAAAAAUUAUCUGGCAUGCUAGUAGAGGAAUCAUUCAAAAUGUCAACGGGAACUGUAUUUCACAAGAAAAAAACUAUCUUGUUAACUGUGGCCAAUUUUAUUGAUGAACAACGUCAGACCAUUGCAAUAAACGAUCAAAACGACUCGACAGAGACACGUUUUGAAUUAAACUGCGGCAAUGACGAAGUACAUCUUAAAGCGUCUCACUUAAGAGGGUGUAAUGCUUCAGACUACAGAAGAUGUAGCGCAUCAAUUUUAUUCAUUGCAGCCUAUUAUGUAUAUGUACUGCAAAAAAAAAAUAUUAAAUGUGUAAUAUGCAAAAGAGCAUUAUUUCAUAAUGAUGAAGAUCUUUGUCUAGACUCAUCUUUAAUUUCAUUUAAAAAUAAUUGCAGUGAUAAUUUUUAAUAGAUUACUCAUUAUACCGUCAGGCUCGAUGUGUCGACUUCUUUUCUGUGUGAAAAAAAUAUUUCGUUAGCACAAUGACUCACGUGGCAGCAUCAGCAUUCCAGAAAAAUUGUUAAUAGAAGUCCUUACUAAUAUCAAUAUAAUCUAUUAUCAACUUUGUAUUUCUUUCAGAUGGCAAAUCAAUUAUAUAAAAAAAUGCUGUAGUAUGUUACCUUCACUUCACAGAUAAUAAUUAUAGAUACCAAAGCUUAAAUACGGACCAACCUUUAAAACUUCGAUUAUUGAAGAAGGGUGUUAUUCCUUCAAAAUUCCCUGAAAAAAAAAAGCAAGUUGAAGCUAUUUUGAAUAUUCUUUCAGAUGUUGAGGAUGAUUUCGCUAAAUUUAUCAGUUUUCUUAAUAAACAGUCACUUUUGGUAUUAAAACUUAACAGAGGAAAACACCAUCUCCUACUCUUUUGACUGUUGCUUCUGUAUGGGCAAAUAUUUCACCCGCUUUAUAUAAAAACAUGGUUAAAGAAGGGCUUCUUAUAUUACCAAUGGUACGUUAUUUGAAGGAUUAUAUUGAUAAUCCAUACUCCCCUGGAAAUAUAAUUGAUUUUUUAUUUGAUAUGGUUCAUAUUUUCGGAAUAUGUAUAAAAAUCUACUCACUCGUACAAUAUUUGAUUGUCCACAAUUUAAUGGAGCUUCAAGUGAAGUAUGCGCACAAAUUAACUGAUGAAGUAAUUAAUCCACGAACCAUUGAGCGAACUAAUGUCAAACUGGCUGAUUGUUUUUUUUUCAUGACUCUGCUAUAUCUUGUCUGAGGACGUUUGAAGAUAUGAAAUUAAAAUGGGGAGGAUCGUCAAACUUUUUGUCAUAGGCAAUAGUGAACAUAAUAAUCAUAGCAAUAAGAACUGUGGAACUGUAUCAUAAGGAUCUUCACACUGCCUCAGGUUUCCCAAAUUUCCCCGUGAGAUUAAAUAGAUUUAUAAUUAAAGAUUUUUUUUUUAAAUCGAUUUACCUGAUCCGUAUUUUUAAAUGGUAUCUUUUUAUUUAUAAUUGUAUAUAAACACACACUAACUACGGAAAUAUGUUUUAAUUUGCGCGUGCCAGUCAAUAUGCCUCCGCAUACCAGCAGUGGCACGCGUGCCAUAGGUUGCCGACUCCUCGUCUAGAGGUUACAAAAACGGUAUUGGAAGACUAAACCUUUUCAAAUAUAUCUUUUUCAUCAAUACAUAACAGAAAAUCAGAUUACCAAAAAAACAGUUACCUCCUAGUACAUACGUUAAGAUAAAAAAUUGGAAAUAUAAGAAUAGUAAAUGAAAAUCAAAUA